UACAGAGGGUGCAAGCAUUAAUCGGAUUUAUUGGGCGUAAAGAGCGCGUAGGCGGGUUUUUAAGUCAGAUGUGAAAUCCCGGGGCUCAACCCCGGAACAGCAUUUGAAACUGAAAAUCUUGAGGGUAGUCGGAGAAAAUGGAAUUCCACGUGUAGCGGUGAAAUGCGUAGAUAUGUGGAAGAACACCGGUGGCGAAGGCGAUUUUCUAGAUUAUUCCUGACGCUGAUGCGCGAAAGCAAGGGGAUCAAACAGGAUUAGAUACCCCUGUAGUCC
rnacentral:rRNA from 1 species